rnacentral:tRNA from 1 species
GUGACCAUGGUGUACCGGUGGUGCACGUCAGAUUGUGGAUCUGAAGGUCCUCGGUUCGACUCCGGGUGGUCACCCCA